rnacentral:rRNA from 1 species
CCUACGGGCGGCAGCAGUGAGGAAUAUUGGUCAAUGGGCGCGAGCCUGAACCAGCCAAGUCGCGUGAAGGAUGACUGCCCUAUGGGUUGUAAACCUCUUUUAUAUGGGAACAAAGUGCAGUAUGUAUACUGCUUUGCAUGUACCUUAUGAAUAAGGAUCGGCUAACUCCGUGCCAGCAGCCGCGGUAAUACGGAGGAUCCGAGCGUUAUCCGGAUUUAUUGGGUUUAAAGGGUGCGUAGGCGGGUUGUUAAGUCAGUUGUGAAAGUCUGGGGCUCAACCGUAGACUUGCAGUUGAAACUGGCACCCUUGAGUACGGUAGAGGUAGGCGGAAUUCGUGGUGUAGCGGUGAAAUGCAUAGAUAUCACGAAGAACUCCGAUUGCGAAGGCAGCCUGCUGGACUGUAACUGACGCUGAUGCUCGAAAGUGUGGGUAUCGAACAGGAUUAGAUACCCUAGUAGUC